GGUUGUAGCUCAGUGGAAGAGUGCUUACCUAGCAUGUGUGAGGUACUGGGUUCUAUUCUCAGCACCG
rnacentral:tRNA from 1 species